rnacentral:rRNA from 1 species
AGAGAGAGACAUGCGCGCAUAUCAAUAAGCGGAGGAAAAGAAACUAACAAGGAUUCCCUUAGUAACGGCGAGUGAAGCGGGAAGAGCUCAAAUUUGAAAUCUUCAAGGUUUUACCUUGACGAAUUGUAGUUUAAAGAAGUGUUUUCUGCUGAAGUUUUGGUAAAAGUUCUUUGGAAUAGGACAUCAUAGAGGGUGAGAAUCCCGUAUUUGACCAUUAUUUUCAGCUUUGUGAUACACUUUCAAAGAGUCGGAUUGUUUGGGAAUGCAGUCCAAAAUGGGUGGUAAAUUUCAUCUAAAGCUAAAUAUUGGCGAGAGACCGAUAGCGAACAAGUACCGUGAGGGAAAGAUGAAAAGAACUUUGAAAAGAGAGUUAAACAGUACGUGAAAUUGUCAAAAGGGAGGCGUUUGACACCAGUGUUGUUUUCUCGAAAAUCAAUUAAAAAUGGCUCGAUUUUGUAUUGCUUGAGACCUUAAAAGCUCACUGUACAUUUUUCGUGUCUUUUUUAAUGCACUUUUCGUUUAACAAGUCAACAUCAGUUUCUUUUGUUGUAAAAGGGUCAUUGGAAGGUGGCUUUCUUUUCGGAGAAAGUGUUUAUAGCCUUUGGCCUCUGCAAUCGGAAGAGACUGAGGUCUGCAGCGUAGACUCUUCGGGGUUAGAUACAUUUGUGCUAAGUUAUAGCUUUUUAUAGACAACUUGUUGACUAUAAUUAGUCUUGUAGCUUACUCGCUUAUGCUAUUUUACCUACGCUUAGGAUGUUGAGUCGUAGAGCACGCAG